UUCUAAACCCAAAUUGAUGUGAGAGAAGCUCCCUCCUUCUCACUUCCAGCUGCUGCCGCCGCCACCCUGCCAUCGCCGCCUCCGGCGGCAUCUCUCUCCCUCCGACUCUUCCUCUCUCUUCUCCCCUCUCUCUCUUUCUCUCCCCACUCCCUCUUCCUUUCUUGGCCCUACUCACGCCGCCGCUGCCCCUCUCUCUCCCGAUCUGCCCGCUGCUGUGCAUGCACAGGCAGCGGCUUCGCCGCUUCUUCUCCGCGCCUCACGCUGCCGGAGCAGCUUCCCGGCGCCACUCCAGCCCCGGCCACUGCCUCCUCACCGACUCCCGAGAGAGAUUGUGAACUCGUCCUCGGCAGUGAGUGGUGCGGGCUGCCGGAGUGCCGCCGCCGGAAAUCCGACAGAUUUGAGAUAAGCUUCCUCAUUCUUUCUAGUUAUUAAGGCAGUAGGUUCCUACUUUGGUUCUAUUUACUGAAUUUGGUGAUUUGUGAUUAUAUGCCUUGCUAUUUGGAAGACUCUAUGGUGAAAUACGUUGUUAAGUUUGGUGUGGCAGAUUCUAUUUCCUAAAUAAAUGCAUAUGCUUACAUAUACGAAAGAAAAGAAAGGCUUGGUGUUUACCUUUUGAUGUGGGAACAAAGUGUUGUUGGAUUGUAGGCUUGAUCCUACGAUUGUCUGCAGCUCUCUGCAACUCUCCCUCCUCGUACUCCUUUAUUCUAUAUAUAUGUGUAUGAAGAGAAUUUGUAGAAUGUUUGAUAGUGAUGGGUUUCCUGGAGUGGAAAGGCUGGGGUUUAUAUAGUUGCCAUUUCUUCAAGUUGCUAUGCAAGUGGAGGGGGGUUUAACAAUGGGGAAGGUUUAACAUGGGGGAGGUUUAAUCUGGAGAGGUUUACUGCCAAAAGAUCUCCUCAAAAUCUCCUCAAUGAUCUAAUUUGGAUCCUAUUUCUUGAUCUUACGGCUAAAAAUAUGGCUUGAGAAUUGAGGGAGCAUUUGAAGCUUUGAUAUCUCUGCACUUGCAUUUAAUGUCCACUUGGUUGAAAUCUUACAAAGAUUUUGAUUGGAUUUGGGAAUGAAUUUCAUCAAAUCUACUAUUGGAUUUCAUUUGAUACUCCCUAAUCCAUUCAAAGAUUUACUCCACAAUUUAUUUUAUUACUCUCUCUGAUUCUCUUCUUUUGUAGUAAAUAACAUCUAUUUAUGGAGCAUGGGCUAUCCUCGUCGAUGUAUCGGCUUUCCUCGGAGCUUGAGCACGACCGUUGAGCGGCUGCCCGAACUUGCACGCCUAUCUCUUAUUGUAAAAGAUUAGGAUUUGGUUGUAUUGUAUAUUUUAAUCGGACUUCUCGUAUCAUGUAUUAUUUGGAUUUAUUAUUUUAAAUUAAUCGUGGUAAAACCAACAACUUCUAUUGCA